CUCUGCAUUCAUUGUCCUAAUCCCGAAGAAAGAAAAUGCUCUACGCGCUGCUGAUUAUCGCCCAAUAAGUCUUUCCCACAGUGUUGCUAAGAUCUUGGGAAAACUCCUUGCCAAUAGACUGGCGCCAACUAUGCAGCAUCUAAUAUCUAUGAGCCAAAGUGCCUUCCUCAAAGGAAGAUCGAUCCAAGACAAUUUUCUGUAUGUUCAAAAUCUCGUCCAGAGUUUACAUAGAGCCAAGAAAGGGGCAAUCUUCCUGAAGCUGGAUAUUGC
rnacentral:rRNA from 1 species